rnacentral:rRNA from 2 species
UGACAGGGAGACAGGUGGUGCAUGGUUGUCGUCAGCUCGUGUCGUGAGAUGUUGGGUUAAGUCCCGCAACGAGCGCAACCCCUACGUUUAGUUGCUAACGCGUGAAGGCGAGCACUCUAGACGAACUGCCGUUGACAAAACGGAGGAAGGUGGGGAUGACGUCAAAUCAUCAUGCCCCUUAUGUUCUGGGCUACACACGUGCUACAAUGGCCGGUACAGACGGACGCAAAGCCGCGAGGUGGAGCAAAUCCUAAAAAGCCGGUCUCAGUUCGGAUUGCAGGCUGCAAUUCGCCUGCAUGAAGUCGGAAUCGCUAGUAAUCGCAGGUCAGCAUACUGCGGUGAAUACGUUCCCGGGCCUU